UUUUUAUUGUUCUUUAGAAAUGCAUUACUCUUCGCCUCAAUAUAUAAAUUGAUUAUUGUUGUGUCCAUCGACACUCAACAUUGGCUUGGACUUCCUCCGCAUACAGUGGUAUAAUUUAAACAGGAUGUCAGACCUUAUAGUCACGUAUGAUUACUUGCUUGCACUAAUGUUAUCGGAAUUAAAGUUGCCUCGGCAUUUUUAUAAUGUUGUUAAUCAUGUCGGUACAUUUCUAUGGGAUGCGACUGUUGUUUUUACAUUUACCGACUCUACUAACGGUCCAAUUAAUGCUGAGUUCCAUGGUCAUAGCAACAUCUCUGAAGAGGAUGCGAAAGAAAUGGCUGCCCAAUGCGGUGUUGAUUUUUUAAAAAGCGAAUUUGACGUCGUAAUUAAUCAUUACAACACACAACGGUUAGAAGUUAUAACAAAAUGCAUGGAUGAUAUUCUAAAACAUUGCGGUGGGCAAGACAUUUUAUAUAUUGAGCUGAUGCUAAGAUACAAGGACCUAAAGAAAAAAUAUAAAAGACUCAAAGGUUGCGAACAUUAAGAUUGGACCUGUCACCUUUAUUUGGGAUGCCAAAUAUUGUUUAAAUAUGUUUUAUUAUAUGACGUGUAUUGUUUAAAAUUAUAUGGCAAUUUUAAGAUUUAGCAAAUAA